AGGGGCAUCUGGUGGAUCUGGCCAAGUUGUUUGACCAUGAUCGAGACAACUCAGACUGAGGUUGAGUCCGAAUCAGUGCACUUGUGGAGUGUUGUCCGGUAAACUGCUGAGGUUUAUUGUGAACAAAAGAGGAAUCGAGGUCGAUCCUGCUAAAAAAAUGAAAAAAGGAAAGAAAAAAAAAAGAAAAAAGCAAUGCAAGAAAUGCCUGAACCGAAAACAAAACAAAAAGAGAGCAAACGGUCAGGUAGGAUAAUGAUU
rnacentral:lncRNA from 1 species